rnacentral:rRNA from 1 species
AGCGAACGCUGGCGGCAGGCCUAACACAUGCAAGUCGAACGAACCUUUCGGGGUUAGUGGCGGACGGGUGAGUAACACGUGGGAACGUGCCUUUAGGUUCGGAAUAACUCAGGGAAACUUGUGCUAAUACCGAAUGUGCCCUUCGGGGGAAAGAUUAAUCGCCUUUAGAGCGGCCCGCGUCUGAUUAGCUAGUUGGUUGAGGUAAUGGCUCACCAAGGCGACGAUCAGUAGCUGGUCUGAGAGGAUGAUCAGCCACAUUGGGACUGAGACACGGCCCAAACUCCUACGGGAGGCAGCAGUGGGGAAUCUUGCGCAAUGGGCGAAAGCCUGACGCAGCCAUGCCGCGUGAAUGACGAAGGUCUUAGGAUUGUAAAAUUCUUUCACCGGGGACGAUAAUGACGGUACCCGGAGAAGAAGCCCCGGCUAACUUCGUG